AAUGGAAAAGAAGAAAAUCGUGUUGAAGUUGGAAUUCAACGAUGACAAAACCAAGCAGAAGGCCAUGAAGAAUGUCUGCAGCCAUUCAGGUGUUGAAUCAGCGUCCGUGGACAUGAAGGAAAAGAAACUGACAGUAGUUGGGGAUGUUGAUAUAAUAAUUAUGGUGAAACAAUUGAGAAAGCUUUGUCACACAGAUUUAGUCACGGUUGGGUCACCAGCAUAAGCAGCAGACAAGAUGAAAGAGGAGAAAGAAAAUGGAGCCAACGAGCGGUGAAAUUAUAAUUCAGACUUAAAGUUAAAUUAGAAUAGGUUUUGGAAUUGGACGGAUAAAUAUUAGAAAUUGUUAUUUAUUUAAGCUUUUAAUUCGGAAUUUUAAUCUAAUUGGAAUUGGAGUUCUAUUACAAAUA